rnacentral:rRNA from 1 species
CCUACGGGCGGCAGCAGUGAGGAAUAUUGGUCAAUGGGCUUACGCCUGAACCAGCCAAGUCGCGUGAGGGAAGACUGCCCUAUGGGUUGUAAACCUCUUUUGUCAGGGAGCAAUUGGCGCUACGUGUAGCGUUAUCGAGAGUACCUGAAGAAAAAGCAUCGGCUAACUCCGUGCCAGCAGCCGCGGUAAUACGGAGGAUGCGAGCGUUAUCCGGAUUUAUUGGGUUUAAAGGGUGCGUAGGCGGAAUGUUAAGUCAGUUGUGAAAGUUUGCGGCUCAACCGUAAAAUUGCAGUUGAAACUGGCAGUCUUGAGUACAGUAGAGGUGGGCGGAAUGCGUGGUGUAGCGGUGAAAUGCAUAGAUAUCACGCAGAACUCCGAUUGCGAAGGCAGCAUACCGGCGCCCAACUGACGCUGAAGCACGAAAGCGUGGGUAUCGAACAGGAUUAGAUACCCGAGUAGUC